UGGUAAUGGGAGAAUGGUUGCACUAGAUGAUCUUGUAGGUGUUUUUCCAACCUUGUGAUUCUAUGAUUCUCAGUACCAAAGGUCAUGCUGAGGAGCACAGUCAGCCCUGCAAAGGCACCAUGCAUGUGUUCUGCUGUACUUCGUCAAGUCUCAGUCUCUCACUGCCUUCGUGUGAUUUCUCAAAGGCAAUUAGUAUUAGAGUUUGAAUGGAAAUGUUAAACAUUCUCCAGCACCAGCUCAUUCAGUUCUUUUUGCUUCAAGUCACUGAAAACUCACAUUCUUCAAUCAUCUCAGCAGGAUUCAGAGCCAUAUGCUAUUUUGCAUGCACUGCACCUAAAGCAGUAGGUUUGAAUCAGUUGUAAUUACUGCUAAGGACACUGCUUAACUCAAGACGAAACGGAAGGAUGUACAGAAUAUGUAUUGUAAAGCAUAAAAUAUAUUACCAGAAGGAAGAAUGGUGCUGUUAACAUAAUUACUGCUACAGAACUGUCCCUCAGAAAAUGUUACUAUAUCUGAACAAGGUCUUCAGAAAGAGAUAUCUUCAAAAAGCCCUGCCAGAGUUCAACCUCUGAAAUGGAAGCAACAGCUCAAAUGUUGAUUUUUGGCAUUUGAGUGGUUUAGUUUCUGGGUUUAGCAGAACAGAGCCUGCAGCUUGCUGCCUCCCGUGGCAUCACGCCCAGUCCCACAGGACUUCCCAGCUCCACACAUACACCAUGCCAGAGCAGCUGCUGCACUUUCCAGGCUGGCUCCAGGCAGUGCUGAGCCCCAUUCAGACAGCACUCAUUCAGCCUGCACUAGCAGCCACUGCUCAGGUCGUCUGCAACACAGCACUCUUCUGGAAACUGGGAACAUGCUGUAAACAGGCUUCCUAAAGGUCAGGCCAAAAGAUUUAAGGGAAAACUUUCAAAGAAAAACACGGAUGGUUAUCCCAUCCUAGAAACACAAUCUGCUCUUUCUUCAUGCCCUUUUGUUAUCCUCGUUUGUGAUGUGCGUGUACACUGUAGGAUGCAUCUAUUCAUAUUUUCCUCAGCUAUUACCCUCUCUUCCUUAUAGUAGUCCUCUUUAUCCAUACCAGUUACAAUUACUUAAUGACUACACAUGGCAUUUACACCAGUUCUCUUUGUGCACCAUGCCAGGCUCACAAUCUCUGGUGAUUGAACGUUCAAAGGAAGUCCAAGAAUUGCAAAACUGAGGAACAACUGUACUACAAGCAAGAAUGCCUAUUACCAGAUAUCAAGUUUUUUCAUUACAGCCCUUUGUUUUCUAUUAGAAGAAGGACUAUAGAUAGUUCAGCACUAAUUCAAGAAAUUGAGAUUUUUCAGUGAUUUGUUCACAAAGCUGCAAAGCAACAUAAAACAAGAGGUCACUGUGAUACUCACGAAACCCACACUGCCAGUCAGUAAAGGAUGGAUGAUGGCACUUCAGAUUUGCUUAUAUGAAAACAGACUGGAAGGAAGACACUGCCAGUGAUACAUACAUAUGGACCUCUACUCAUAACACUCAGAAAAGUUAUAAUUUCCCCCAAAGGUUUUAUUCAGAAAUCAAACCAUUUAUUGUGUCAAUUAUAAACAAAGCUCACUGUUAUAUGCAUGUAUUACAACGUCUCUCAACUUUCUCCUCUGAAUUGCAAGCUUUCUUUGCAUAUUCACAAUAAAAUUGCUGUCUUCUA